GGAUGUGAGGGUGAUCUAUCACCCCAUUGAUCGCCAGGGUUGAUUCAGCUGAUCUGGCUGGCUAGGUGGGUGUCCCCUUCCUCUCUCACUGCUCCAUGUGCGUCCCUCCCGAAGCUGCAUUGAAGAGGACAGCUUUCCCCCGAAUAGAGACAGACCAGUCUUCUGACCAGUCUUUAGUUGAGGGUAUACGAGUAGCUGCGCUUCCCUACUAGAACCUUCAAACAAGCUCUCAAGGAAUAUAUCUAAAAUAGAUCUACUAGCUUUUUCCAAAAUGGAGACCGCCAAAUCUCCAUCCACAACAUUCUUGCCUUU
ensembl:misc_RNA 7SK 7SK RNA